UACGGAGGAUCCAAGCGUUAUCCGGAAUCACUGGGUUUAAAGGGUCCGUAGGCGGUCUUAUAAGUCAGUGGUGAAAUCUCCCCGCUCAACGGGGAAACGGCCAUUGAUACUGUAGGACUUGAAUUAUUAGGAAGUAACUAGAAUAUGUAGUGUAGCGGUGAAAUGCUUAGAGAUUACAUGGAAUACCAAUUGCGAAGGCAGGUUACUACUAAUGGAUUGACGCUGAUGGACGAAAGCGUGGGUAGCGAACAGG
rnacentral:rRNA from 1 species